rnacentral:rRNA from 1 species
UACGUAGGGGGCAAGCGUUGUCCGGAAUCAUUGGGCGUAAAGAGCGUGUAGGCGGCCCGGUAAGUCCGCUGUGAAAGUCCAGGGCUCAACCUUUGAAUGUCAGUGGAUACUGCCGGGCUAGAGUCCGGAAGAGGCGAGUGGAACUCCUGGUGUAGCGGUGGAAUGCGCAGAUAUCAGGAGGAACACCAAUAGCGAAGGCAGCUCGCUGGGACGGUAUUGACGCUGAGGCGCGAAAGCGUGGGGAGCAAACGGG